AAUGGAAUGCCUGAAUUUAAAGGGCUAUCUUGAUAUGAUAGAUAAUGUAAGUCUAUUACUUCCAUUA
rnacentral:tRNA from 1 species